rnacentral:rRNA from 1 species
AUCGAACGCUGGCGGCAGGCCUAACACAUGCAAGUCGAACGAGUGGCGGACGGGUGAGUAAUGUCUGGGAAACUGCCUGAUGGAGGGGGAUAACUACUGGAAACGGUAGCUAAUACCGCAUACCAUCGGAUGUGCCCAGAUGGGAUUAGCUAGUAGGUGGGGUAACGGCUCACCUAGGCGACGAUCCCUAGCUGGUCUGAGAGGAUGACCAGCCACACUGGAACAGUGACACGGUCCAGACACCUACGGGAGGCAGCAGUGGGGAAUAUUGAACAAGGGGCACAAGCCGAAUGCAGCCAUGCCGAGUGUAUGAAGAAGGCCUUCGGUUUGUAAAGUACUUACAGCUAGGAGGCGUUACUCGCAGAAGAAGCACCGGCUAACUCCGUGCCAGCAGCCGCGGUAAUAC